AAUCACACGUCUCAUCUCUCACUGCUGGAACUCAAUACACAUUCACUCUCUACUCUGUGUUUGAGAACGUCAGAAGCAGUGGAGUCAGCAUUACUGCAGUCACUGCUCCUUCAAAUGCACAAAACCUCAUAUCAUCAGGACAAAAUGAAACCAGCAUCACUCUGCAGUG